UACGUAGGGGGCAAGCGUUGUCCGGAUUUAUUGGGCGUAAAGAGCUCGUAGGCGGCUCAGCAAGUCGGUCGUGAAAACCCGGGGCUCAACCCCGGGAGGCCGGUCGAUACUGCUGUGGCUAGGGUCCGGUAGAGGAGAGUGGAAUUCCCGGUGUAGCGGUGGAAUGCGCAGAUAUCGGGAGGAACACCAGUAGCGAAGGCGGCUCUCUGGGCCGGCACCGACGCUGAGGAGCGAAAGCUAGGGGAGCAAACAGGAUUAGAUACCCUGGUAGUCCUAGCCGUAAACGUUGGGCACUAGGUGUGGCGGUCUGACCAACGACUGCCGUGCCGUAGCUAACGCAUUAAGUGCCCCGCCUGGGGAGUACGGUCGCAAGGCUAAA
rnacentral:rRNA from 1 species